GUCUGAUUAGCUAGUUGGUAAGGUAACGGCUUACCAAGGCGACGAUCAGUAGCCGACCUGAGAGGGUGAUCGGCCACAUUGGAACUGAGACACGGUCCAAACUCCUACGGGAGGCAGCAGUGGGGAAUAUUGCACAAUGGGCGAAAGCCUGAUGCAGCAACGCCGCGUGAGUGAUGAAGGCCUUCGGGUCGUAAAACUCUGUCCUCAAGGAAGAUAAUGACGGUACUUGAGGAGGAAGCCCCGGCUAACUACGUGCCAGCAGCCGCGGUAAUACGUAGGGGGCUAGCGUUAUCCGGAUUUACUGGGCGUAAAGGGUGCGUAGGCGGUCUUUCAAGUCAGGAGUGAAAGGCUACGGCUCAACCGUAGUAAGCUCUUGAAACUGGGAGACUUGAGUGCAGGAGAGGAGAGUGGAAUUCCUAGUGUAGCGGUGAAAUGCGUAGAUAUUAGGAGGAACACCAGUUGCGAAGGCGGCUCUCUGGACUGUAACUGACGCUGAGGCACGAAAGCGUGGGGAGCAAACAGGAUUAGAUACCCUGGUAGUCCACGCUGUAAACGAUGAGUAC
rnacentral:rRNA from 1 species